GGACGCGUAGCUCAGUUGGUUAGAGCAUUCGGUUUACAUCCGAAGGGUCAGGGGUUCGAGUCCCUUCGCGUCCACCA
rnacentral:tRNA from 1 species